GGCCCUGGUUGGACGAGGGCGCCUGCUUCUCUUCACUCCCCCGAUUGGGUGAAACCCUAGCCAACGCUCCCCAAUCCCCAUCACAUCCCUCUCCUUCGCUCCCGCCGCCGCGCUCCCGUCCUCCCUUCCCCCCCUUCCCAGUCGCCGCACGAGGUGGACUGCGACCCACGCCCCUGUCGUCUCCUCUGCCCAGCCAAUCACCCCUCCUCUGUGUGCCUCCCUCCUCCUCCUCCUCCUCAUUGGGACCGGGCAAGGGGAUGAGUGCGGGCCGCAGAGACGACAAGGUGGCUGAGCUAUCCACGGCGCCGUCAUCGUUCGUCCGGACUCAGCAGGAGGAGUGCUGGCCAUGGGGAUGGAAGAGGGAGCCAGCCAUCCGCCGUGUCGUGGCCGCCAUCCAGGAUGAGACGCUCAUCCACACGCGGCAAGCCUUGGACUAGGACGCGCCACGAGAAGCAGACGGGGAGGCCAUUGCCAGCUGGUCCGAGAUCUGAGCGCACCCGUCGCCGCCGCCGUUCGUUGUCCACUUGGCUGCAGCCAUCCCCAAGAAGAGGGGAUGUCACGGCAGCGGGAUCCUCGCCUGUCUCCACUCCCUCACCUCCCCGUUCUGCUGGCAAGGGUGUGGUAUCCCAUGGGGGGUGCUUCUCGCUCGAGGAGUAACCACUCCAGAGCAGGAGCAGGACAGGUUCGUUCAUGCUCUAUCUACUCAUGUGCUUGCUAUACUUGCUGGAGUAGGUAUAUGGUUCCUGCGUGUGUGGUUUGGUGUCUGGGUUUUUCCCAAUUCCAGUCCAGAAGCAUGGAUUUAGGGAUUAUCUUACUUGGUUUUGGGUGCGGCUGCUGGUAGGCAAACCAUUUUGUAAGGGCCUCUAUCUGUGCACCAUGAUUUUAGUCUUCAGGUAAUCUGUUUUAGAUACUAGAUUUGUAAAUAUGAAAUGUGCUUGGAGUUACUUUUCUUUCCUUUUUUUAUUCAUUUGUCAGGAUUUAUCCUUUUCUACAACUAUGUACUUGGCGCUUGAGUUUCACUGUACUUCAAAGUUAUAUAGAGCACUAUAUAUGAGUAUAUGAUUGGCUAGCAGUUCCCUUCAGGAUACAUGUGCUAGGUUUCAAUGUCUUCAUUUCCUUGCUUUAUUUGUUAGGUGUCUCAUUUUUUCUCUGUCUCGCAAGAUAUAAUAUGCAGAGGCAAAUAAAAAAUGUACCCGAUAAACUGAUCCGCACUGUAACAAGAUAAGUGGGGUUUAGCUCCCAAAAUAUUGCAAAGCUUAAAUCCUAUAUGGUUUCAGUAGAAAAUGGUCACACAAAAACAAAUUGAUGGAAAUGGGAUUUGCAGGAUGUACUUAUGAUUUCCAGGCUUCUAUACUGUCAGUGAUAUGUUCCUCUUGGCGUCAUCUAGAUCUUUAGAGAGUGACUGAAAAUUGUCUUACAUCCUGUUACAUCAAAUGAAGUGACUUGAAAUUCUCAAAUGACAAAUUAACAUGGGCUUUUGAGCAUAUAACACAUUGCUAGAAACAUUUCCUUGGAGAAAAUGGGGAACUGAAGCAUAGGUGUUAUAGUGAAUACUAAAAUUUACAUGUUGCGUCUUUUGGUCUUUUGCUUAGAUGUUGACAAAGGAGUAUGUGAGAGAAGAUUAUGGUCAGGGAACAUUAAUGCAGAGUGUCUACUCCAGUCUUUCACCAGCACAGUGUAACUGAACAUGGAAAUAUCAAGCACACAGAUCUGGUUUUCCUAUGCCUGGGUGUCUUCUCUUUCAGUCUGUUCCUGCUUUUUGUGUGUUGAAUUGCUCAUUCAUCAUAGCUUGCUGCAUGUUCAGUCUUUCACAUUUAGGAACCAUAAGAAUGGAGAAGUUCCAGAAAAGUUUGUCGAUCAGCUCAUGAUUAUACUUGAGGGAAGGAUCUAUGAAAUUCGAAGGUUCCUACUUUUUCCGAGGAUUUUACAUGCUAAAAUUUGAAAGUAUACAUCUGUUGUUGAAAGGGACAAGUUUAGGGUUUAGCAGAGUUAGCGGCGGUCCUACAUGAUAUUGGUACAUUAACAAUGCCCUACCUGAUAUCACUGAUUUCCUUCAAGGUUACUUCAUCUUGUUUCGGUUGAUAGAUUGCCUACACAAUCUUCUAUGCCAUGCAGGAUAGAGUUUAUUACAAUUCGUGCUUUGUGGUUUCUUGAAAUGGUUUUUAGAUCAAGAUUUAUACAUGCUCCUACUCUUCAUAAAGAGGUAACGAUUUGGUUCUCAUUUAUACUUUCUGCUGGACUUAAGCUAGGUUGAAAGGACUAAAGGCAGAGAGGUGUUAAUUUAUUACAUAUGGUUGCCUUUCUGCAUUCUGUCAGUCUCCACUGCUAACAUGUGUCAGACAAAAAAGCAAAAGUAACUUAGUUAGUUACAUGAAGCAUAUUGGGUUAUGAAAAAGAUGGUUAAUUAGAUACGAAGGCCAUGCUCAACUGCUUAUUCUUCGUGCUUGGUCCGCCUGAAUUCUAUAGCUACUUCCUCCGGUCCGAAUUAAUUGACGCAGCCUCUAUUUAUAGAGGCUGUGUCAAUUAAUUCGGAUUGGAGGGAGUACUGAAAUAUAUACAAUGCCAUGAUUAGUUUAUGAGGCCCUGUUUUGCUAAGCUAUCUUAAUUGUGUACACAUACUGUUGAUCAAAUUUCCAUAUCCUGAGUUGCUAAUUAUUGUUGGGAUAAAUAAAGGGACUGAUCUUUCGUACUUGUCUUCACGCACGUUUUCAUUUGCCUGAUUUAAUAACCUUGUUUGAUAUAUAGUUCAUGAUUUGGUACAAGCUAUCAAUUGUACUUGGUUGCCUACCACCCAGUUUAUUAAGAUGCUAUUAGUGGCUCUUUUUUAUGUUCUCCUUUCAGAGUUGUACCAAGGCCUACCACUUCUUUGGCCGCCAAUGUAAUUUCUAUCCAGCGCCUAUCUCUCUUACCAGCUUCCAAGGGAGUCCGGGGUGACGAGGGUGAUGGCACUGGCUCCGACAUAACAGAGUCAUGCCGCCUAAGAUGCCGGUUUACCUUAGCAACUUAGCCCAAUAUGGCUAAUUAAAUCAACAAUGGGAAAAGCUCGAAGUUGUCUUCGUCGCAACCAUUGAUCACAGGUUCAUACCAGCAAAAGUUGCAGGUAGGACCUGCUUUAUGCAUUGCUCAUGUUGUGUCCUUUACCCUUGUGAGUUUUGCACAAAAGCUUCUUCAGUCCUAAACUAAGGGUCAGUUUUUGCUCUACCAAUGCUGCAUGGAACACUGUUCUAAACAUAAUAUAACUAAGUUGCCUGAUGAAUAAAGUUUUUAGAAGUUAUGAGCGGAAAAUCCAAGCGGAAAAUUUUGGCCAUCGAAAGUAGAAUUUGAUUCAUUCCAUGAUCAGGGUCAAGGUGCUUUUCCCCCAAGGUAGUCACUGUGGUUUUAUUUCUGGCUUAUGCAUAUGCUCUUAUAUUAGUUUUCAGUGUCAUCACAAACAAGGGAUAUAUCAGAGUAGUGUCAUGUAGUAAUCAAAAAUGGAGAGGAAGUUAAGGACUUGGUAAUUACUCCUACAUAGUAAUCAUGGCUAGAGGACUGAAAGAGGAAGUACAUUUGCCUUAGCCUUGAAGGUGGCCGAAGGUUAUGUGUGCAUCUUCUUUUGUUCUUUUUUCUGUAUUUUUCUGGACAACCUAGGGUGUUUUUGAGCAUAUAUCACUAGCUAUGAUCGACUCAUUUGACAAGGCUACAUAUGGGAGUAUGACUUAUGUGUAAUCAUAGUAUAUGAUACUUUUGAUUAUAGUCGUGGUAAUCUGGCCUUUAUAGUGCAUAUAGCUAGCUCUGAUUGGUUAAUUUGUCAAGGCUACUACACGUGGUUGUAUCCUCGAUUAGCAUGACUUAUCUUAUGUGGAGUAGUAACACCAUAUGAUAGUUGGUUAGUUGCUUAGGUUCUCCUGGUUUGUGAUGGAAAUCUGCAACGCACUGUAGGUUUUAUUGGUCCAUGACAAUGGUAUACCCAUGUUUACCUAUACAAUGUCAAACAGUUGUUGUUUGUACCUUCUACAGGCUGAUGCAAUAUUGAUUUCUAUUCACACGAUAGCUUGUGAUUAUUAUAAGGAACAUUGGAUCUUUUCACAAUGUAUGAUUGUAUGAAUGAUCCGUGGGACAUAUGAAGGUUGUGCGAAAUAAUUUGUGCAGGGUAUAGCAAACCGAUUAGUGCGGUGUGCUUUGAAGAGAGCCAAAAGGAAGAGAGAGGCGAGUGUACAUGACCUGAAGACGGCAAGGCAACACUUCCACGACGACGUCAACAUCGUCGUGGUCUAUCUUCAGCGGCACCGGCACCGGGCCGUCAGAUCAGGGUCAUGGAGCGGUAACUGCAAAGAUAGAGCCCCAAAGUAUCACUCUGUAGGUGAAUUGUAUGAUGGGUUACAGAUUUUACUUAUAAGACAACAUGUACUGCCAACUAUUCCUCCGUUCAAAAAUAGAUGACUCAACUUUGUAUUAACUUUAGUACAAAGUUCCCCGCAAAAAAAAAAAACUUUAGUACAAAGUUGAGUCAUCUAUUUUGAAACGGAGGGAGUACAAUUUAAAGCAUAUCUGGUAUUUUCGUAUUCUUUGUCGUGUGUAGAAUACAUGGUCUGAUAGGGUCAGCGUUUGUAUGAACUUUUGGUGGAUAAAGUGUUUUGUAUCUCAAGCAAGUUCAUCAUUGAACACAAUAAUUAGAUUGUGUUUUCCUAA